AAAAUGGACUAAUACAAAUAUGCUGAGUUAAGUCCUGGACAAGGAACACUUUGCCAACCUCUGGACUAGACUGAGUAAAGCAAGCAGAAAGAUCCAAUUUUAAAAAGAGGUGAGGAAAAUGGGACAACUUGGCUAUGGAGAGAGCAAGAAGAAUGCAACUGAUGUGCACAAAGUUUGAAGACAAAGUUACUCAGGUUAGAUCAGGGGUCCACAACCCCCAGCCAUGGACCAGUACUGAUUUGUGGCCUGUUAGGAACUCAGUUGCAGUAGGAGGUGA
rnacentral:lncRNA from 10 species